rnacentral:rRNA from 1 species
GAGCACGUAGGUGGGUUUGUAAGUCAGAUGUGAAAGCCUUCUGUUCAACGGAAGAAUUGCAUCUGAAACUGCGAGUCUUGAGUGUAGGAGGGGAGAAUGGAACUUCUGGUGGAGCGGUGAAAUGCGUAGAUAUCAGAAGGAACGCCGGCGGCGAAAGCGAUUCUCUGGCCUAUUACUGACACUCAGUGUGCGAAAGCUAGGGGAGCAGACGGGAUUAGAUACCCCGGUAGUCCUAGCCGUAAACGAUGGGCACUAAGUAGAGGGGUUUU